rnacentral:misc_RNA from 1 species
UAUAAAUAAAUAAAUCAUCAUAUUUUCAAAACUUACCAACACCCUCUUUCCCAAACGUUACUCCCAAUCUAAGAGUGGAAAUACACGUAAAUAAAAAAAAAUACUAAAAAAAAUAUGCUUUUUUUUUAAAUAAAUAAAAUACACACAAGCACACAUAGGAUAAGAAAGGUACACACCCAUUGACUCUAAAGAAGGUGAUGUUGUUGGCUUUAUCUUGUGUAUUAUUGGUGACAAAUGAAAACUUGGACCAUCCUUUAUUUAAGUCCUCGUGCAAGGGCAGCCUCACGACUGGCAGCAAACUUGGCGAUAAGUUUGUCGCGAGGUGGCCAAUUUUCUUGAAUGAUUGGGGCAGUUGAGAAUUCUUGAAUCCAUUGUAGCAAUAGUGGGAAUUUUUCUUGGUCUAUGAGUUUUAGACCAAUUACUUCCUCAAUUAUACCCAAAUAAUAAGCAAGCCAUCCCAAUGCGAGAUCCACUAACCCAAUUUUCUCUCCUCCAAAGAAUUUCUUUCCUUUUAGCUCCUCUUCUAAAUGCUGCAAGAUCUCCAUUGCUCUAGGUAUUUCUUCCUCUCGCUCUUUUCCUUGCUUGAACAGAAUACCAUAUACUAUUGAUUGAAAGACCUUAUCAUCACCAAACUUAGCCCAAAAGCGAGCCUUGGCUCUCUCAUGAGGAUCUUGAGGCAACAAUGGAAAUUGUUUCCAUGUCUCAUCCACAUAUUCAAGAAUAACAAGAGAUUCACAGAUGGGUUUUCCAUUGUGCAGAAGCACAGGAACCUUCUUAUGAACAGGGUUGUAUUGCAGAAGCAAAGGACUCUUGUUGGAGAGAUCUUCAUACACUGUAUCAAACUCCACGCCCUUCAGCUUUAGUGCCCAUAUAACUCUUAAAGGAAAUGGACUUGACCAUGUCCUGAAAACCUUUACUUCUUCUUCUGCCAUAGCCACUUUGUUUUGUAAUCUCUUACAAUUCUAUAUCACAAAGUCUGCUAUUUAU